GCAUUCGUGGUGUAGUGGCUAUCAUACUUCCUUCGGGUUCUUUGUCUGUCCAGUCACCUGGCAGGCAAGCACAUGUGCUCCGAACUAAUUGAGUUUCAAUGGAAGUGGUCCUGGGUUCAAGUCCCGGCGAGUGCC